UGUUGGCCAUGCCAAAUCAGUCAAUAUUUUGUCUACCGACUAUUCAAUAUAAAAGCAACAUUUACGGACUAAAAUAUAUUUUCCAUAAUGAUAUCUAAAAAGGAUAAGAAGAAAAUAAAUAAGCCUAAGGAAACAGAUAUAGAAGAACCUUUAAUUUUUAACGAAAUCAUGGAUGAAGCGGAUGUUCUUGAACUAAAUUUGUUUACUGAUAUUAAUGAAGCUUUUUUUAAUGAAGCUAACCGGGUGGUCCAAGUCCUCAUGGAAGCUAAACGCAAUUUCGAGGCAUCAAGAAUUAAAAGAUAUACUGACAUUAUUUUUAAUUUGCACCGACUCUACGUCGAUGAAGUCAUUGAUAAUGAUUUUUUACGCCCACGAAUUGUAUCUUCUGAAAACAAAUUACGACUUGCUCUUGAACUAACCUUAACUUCAGAAGAGGCUGUGCAAAAACUUAAAGAGGCUUUGGGUGAUGCAUGGAAAGAAUCUGAUUCAUCCGCUCUCCGCGAGCAGUUGGUCCAAGAGAAAUUGCAAGAAGUCCUAAUAAAGUGUGAUGGUCUUGGAGAUAUAAAUAGUGGACUAACAGAUGACGCGGCAGAGAAUAUAAGCCAGAUACUACAUGUGUAUAAGUGAUCUCUUUCCCCGAUCAUUUCCAACAUCAUUGUGCUGCUUUCAAGCAGCAAAGUCAGGACCCGCACGUUAGAGAUGGCAGUCACUGGAUGCUGACCGCGCCUAUGAGACAAUGUAAUUUUCAUCCUGAAUGAAAUUCCAUUAUGGGCAUUUGGCUAUCAAAUGAUAUCAAAUUGCGGCAACGAGAUUCCUUAGAGAAUUUGGCGUCCUUUGCCACCAAUUGAUUCCCUUCACUUCUGCUGAUACGACAAUCGUCUGGAGUUGGCUGGAACUUCUCCUCUUGUAGAUGUGGGAUUCGGCUAAAAUUGGCAGAACCUAAAAGAAAGUAACAGUUAGCCUGAUGACUAUACGGUUGCAGUUAUACAGUUGUCUUUCCUCCAACUUUUUUCAAACAAAGCGUGUAUUUUCAUUCUGAUGUUUCUAUUUCUCGAGGCAAUGUUCACGACCAGUGUUUGCGUAGGUGCUCCAAUGAAAUAUAUCAUCUUUAUCUAUA
rnacentral:misc_RNA from 1 species